UACAGAGGGGGCAAGCGUUGUUCGGAAUUACUGGGCGUAAAGGGCGCGUAGGCGGCCUGCUAAGUCGAACGUGAAAUCCCCGGGCUCAACCCGGGAACUGCGUCCGAUACUGGCAGGCUUGAAUUCGGGAGAGGGAUGCGGAAUUCCAGGUGUAGCGGUGAAAUGCGCAGAUAUCGGGAGGAACACCUAUGGCGAAGGCAGCUCGCUGGGACGUUACUGACGCUGAGACGCGAAAGCGUGGGGAGCAAGCAGG
rnacentral:rRNA from 1 species